GACGAACGCUGGCGGCGUGCUUAACACAUGCAAGUCGAACGCUGAAGCUCAGCUUUUGUUGGGUGGAUGAGUGGCGAACGGGUGAGUAACACGUGAGUAACCUGCCUCCUUCUUUGGGAUAACGCCCGGAAACGGGUGCUAAUACUGGAUAUUCACUGGUCUUCGCAUGGGGGUUGGUGGAAAGGGUUUUUCUGGUGGGGGAUGGGCUCGCGGCCUAUCAGCUUGUUGGUGGGGUGAUGGCCUACCAAGGCUUUGACGGGUAGCCGGCCUGAGAGGGUGACCGGUCACAUUGGGACUGAGAUACGGCCCAGACUCCUACGGGAGGCAGCAGUGGGGAAUAUUGCACAAUGGGCGCAAGCCUGAUGCAGCGACGCCGCAUGAGGGAUGGAGGCCUUCGGGUUGUGAACCUCUUUCGCUAAUGGUCAAGCCGCAACAAUGGUUGUGGUGAGGGUAGUGGGUAAAGAAGCGCCGGCUAACUACGUG
rnacentral:rRNA from 1 species